CCUACGGGGGCAGCAGUGGGGAAUAUUGGACAAUGGGCGAAAGCCUGAUCCAGCCAUGCCGCGUGUGUGAAGAAGGCCUUCGGGUUGUAAAGCACUUUCAGUGGGGAAGAAAGCCUUGGGGCUAAUACCCUCGAGGAAGGACAUCACCCACAGAAGAAGCACCGGCUAACUCCGUGCCAGCAGCCGCGGUAAUACGGAGGGUGCGAGCGUUAAUCGGAAUUACUGGGCGUAAAGCGCGCGUAGGCGGUCUGAUAAGCCGGUUGUGAAAGCCCCGGGCUCAACCUGGGAACGGCAUCCGGAACUGUCAGGCUAGAGUGCAGGAGAGGAAGGUAGAAUUCCCGGUGUAGCGGUGAAAUGCGUAGAGAUCGGGAGGAAUACCAGUGGCGAAGGCGGCCUUCUGGACUGACACUGACGCUGAGGUGCGAAAGCGUGGGUAGCAACCAGGAUUAGAUACCCUAGUAGUC
rnacentral:rRNA from 1 species